AUAGCUCAUAGACAAUUUAGUUGGUAAGAGAUUCAUCAAUAAACAAAGAAAGAGUUGCAAAAUCAACUAUAGAUGUUAUCAACAUUAUUGGCAACAAAUAGGGCAUUUGGUCUAGUGGCAUGAUUCUCGCUUUGGGUGCAAGAGGUCCCAAGUUUGAUUCUCGGAAUGCCCCUCUAUC